rnacentral:lncRNA from 1 species
ACAAAGUAAUGCCCUACUCUGCUUUUUGUACCAUUACACCCUUUUUUCUUUCAUUUAUUUACCAUCAAUUGCCACUAAUGGACCCACCAUACAACAACUUAUUUCAUUUUUAUAUUCUACUAUAUUACACUUUAUUACUAGUGGACCCACCACACAACACCUUUAACACUUUAGUCAACUACUUUAUCACUUUAGUCAACUACCCU